UAUUGUAUUUUAUUUUUUUUUUAAAUAUCAAUAUUGGAAUUUAUUCAAACAAAUGAUAACAAGAGAGUCUUAAGGAAUUUCUUUGAGCUUGAACACAAAUAUUUAGCUACUUGAGUUUACGAUAAACAUAUACCGGAAAUAAAUAUAACCAUCGGUUCUCAAAUUUAAACACCACGUAUUGAAAUUUAAAUUAAUUAUCACAUAUCAAUGUGCCAGUGCUUUAAAAAUGCAAAAAUGUUUAUUAAUAUUUAUAUUUUAAAUAAAUUAUUCCAAUAUGGUAAAUUUAAAUAAAGUCUCGUAAUCAGGUGUUAAAAUGUCGCGUCACUAAUUCCAAAAGGACAUAUUUUUAUACGCUCUUUUGGCUUUAGUCGCUAAUAGCUAAUCAUAUCGUAAAUUUAUUCUGAAGCUAAAAAUUCGGAAAAAAAAUUUCGAAAGCCAAAAGGGCGUAUAAUUUAAGGGAGAUCAAUGAUGUGAAAUAAACCGAUUCUCGAAAGUACAUGUUUCAAAAUUGCUGCAGUAUUAACUCGAAGACAAAUUAUCUGAUCGAUUUGAUUCUUAUUGCAGCUUCUUUUGUAUAUGUUUUUCCGUACCAUAAACCUCCUUACAGGGGCAGAGGCAGCCGAUCGGUUCAUGUGUGGCUCGGGCGAUCAUCAAAGUUAAGCAGCACCGAGCGUGGUUACUGUUUGGCUGGGUGACCGCUUAGCCAUGCAUUGAGCUUGAUCGGACGUCUCUGUGCGCUAGGCGCGGACUGAAGAGCCAGUGAUCGGUAAAAUGGGAAUUUUAUCGAUCACUGGAACUUCACCUGCUCCGAAAAAUGACAGCUGUACUGGCAAAAGGUUUUCUCUGUGGUUUCCCUUUGCCGCUAUACUCCCACGGCAAAAAGGUGGGGUAUAGGGCAUCACGUAAUGAUGCAGUACAGAAGCACAAGUCGGUCCACAGCCGCAUGAAAAAGAGGAGGGAAUAGAAAAAGGUAGCGAUUGCGAUUAAAGGCAAGAAGUGUAAAAGGCAUAAAUAUGCUAUACACUGUUAACAAUAAUAAUAAAUAAUACCAUAAACCUCCAGUUUUCCGAUCGAAUACACGGAAAAAAAAUUCGACGAAAAAUUCCAAUAUUACUAUCGUAAUCCUGGACUAUACUUUUAUUAUCUGUAACAUUCAAAUAUAUGAUACGAAAAUUUACAGUUUUUAAAAGAUUUUUUACUAUUCACUAUCGUAAUUUCAUUAAGAGUUUAUUGUAAUCAAUUCAAUAAGAAAUAUUACAAUGUUACUAUCGUAAAUAGUAAAAGAAUAAAAAAUAAGAUUUAAUUAUACUAUUUAUUCUUUUAUUCUUCCUUUUAAUUUACAGUGCUGCCUCUAUGUUUUUACAAUACAAGCUACAAAAAUUACGAUAGUUGGAUUGUAAAUUUUCUGAAAUGGUAUAGUAUAUGCCAUCUGAAGCGUUUACGUAUGAAAGACAAGUGUUGUCACAAACCAUGAUGUGAUGCUUGUAUGAGUGUAUAUAUAUAUAUAUAAAUACAAAUGAUGACAUCUACUUUGUCUGUAUUAUUUGUGGUUCAACUAUAUAUAUUUAUAAAUCAGUUCAUCUUUAUCCACAGUGUAGUGCAGAAAUAGAGGUUAUUAUUCAUGACGUUUUUCGGACAAUUGUAAAUAAGAAAUUUAAAAUAAAAACUGUACUUUCGUCAUUACAAACCUACAUAGAUUGUGGAAUAUAAUAAUUUGGUGGUGAUAAUCUUCAUUUGUCGACAAUGAAUAAUUUUACCCGGCUUUGCGAGAGGUAAAACAUUUCAAUAACCUCAAAUUAUGGACAUUCAACAUUUCUUUAUGAUACUGAAGUUAGCAGACGCCUAAUAAUUUUUGGAUUUUUUUAAAAAUGAUAAAUUAUAGAAAAAAAGUAUUCGAAAAAAUUGCACCUAUGGUUUUUUUAAUUUUCUACAUGUGCGUAUUUUGAAUACAAAUAAAUGAGUUAUUUAUUCAUAAAUUUUAUAUAUACCAAAAAAAUAUGUUUGAAAAAAUAUUAAAUAAAUGUUUUAUUAUUACUACUUCAA